rnacentral:rRNA from 1 species
CUGGCUCAGAUUGAACGCUGGCGGCAGGCCUAACACAUGCAAGUCGAACGGUAACAGGAAGAAGCUUGCUCUUGCUGACGAGUGGCGGACGGGUGAGUAAUGUCUGGGAAACUGCCUGAUGGAGGGGGAUAACUACUGGAAACGGUAGCUAAUACCGCAUAACGUCGCAAGACCAAAGAGGGGGACCUUCGGGCCUCUUGCCAUCGGAUGUGCCCAGAUGGGAUUAGCUAGUAGGUGGGGUAACGGCUCACCUAGGCGACGAUCCCUAGCUGGUCUGAGAGGAUGACCAGCCACACUGGAACUGAGACACGGUCCAGACUCCUACGGGAGGCAGCAGUGAGGAAUAUUGGUCAAUGGACGAAAGUCUGACGGAGCAACGCCGCGUGAGUGAAAGAAGGUUUUCGGAUCGUAAAGCUCUUUCGUCAGGGACGAACGUAUUUCUUGUAAAUAAUGAGAGAUAGUGACGGUACCUGAAUAAGAAGCCACGGCUAACUACGUGCCAGCAGCAGC